AACGGAGGGGGCGAGCGUUAUUCAUCCUUAUUGGGCGUAAAGGGUACGUAGGUGAUGAAAAAUUUUUCUGAACAAAUUUCAAAUUUUUUUUUGAAGCAUUUUUAAAAAUGGAUAAAUUGGAGAUAUGUUAGAGGUUGGCGGAAUUACUAAAGUAAAGGUAAAAUCUUACGAUCUUAGUACGAACACCGAAAGCGAAAGCAGCUUUCUCAAGUAUCUGACACUGAGGUACUAAAGCAUGGGAAUCAAACGGG
rnacentral:rRNA from 1 species